GACGUAGGGGGCGAGCGUUAUCCGGAAUUAUUGGGCGUAAAGAGCGUGUAGGCGGCUUGGUAGGUCCGCUGUGAAAACUCGAGGCUCAACCUCGAGAUGUCGGCGGAAACCACUUGGCUAGAGUCCGGAAGAGGAGAGUGGAAUUCCCGGUGUAGCGGUGAAAUGCGCAGAUAUCGGGAAGAACACCUAUGGCGAAGGCAGCUCUCUGGGACGGUACUGACGCUGAGACGCGAAAGCGUGGGGAGCGAACAGG
rnacentral:rRNA from 1 species